rnacentral:lncRNA from 1 species
CCACGCCCCCCACAGACCACAUUCACAAAAGUGGGGGGCGGGGCCAAAUCGUCUUUAUUCCAUUGUGGGUGGAGCUUGGUGGUGACCACGCCCCUCACAAACCACAUUCAAAAAGUAGGGGCGGAGCCCAAAUCAUCUUUAAUUCAUUGUGGGCGGAGCUUUGAUGUGACCACACCCCCCACAGACCACACCCAACAAAGGGGGCGGGGCCAAACCAUCUUUAUUCCAUGGUGGGCGGAGCUUGGUGGUGACCACGCCCCCCACAGACAACAUCCAAAAAGGGGGGCGGGGCCAGAGAUCCUUAUUCCAAUGUGGGUGGAGCUUGGUGGUGACCACGCCCCCUUUCCCCACCCUAACAAACCACACCAACAAAGGGGGCGGGGCCAAACCAUCUUUAUUCCAUGGUGGGCGGAGCUUGGUGGUGACCACGCCCCUACAAACCACAUCC